CUGUGCUAGACGGGGAGUUAGCGGUGCCUUGUAGCCUGCAAUCCGCUAUAGCAGGGUCGAAUUCCUUGUUUGAGGCUGUAAUUUGUAAGGUUCGUCUCAUUUCAGUCAAUGUUGAUAAUCGGGUCCCACGCAACGGGAACUCAUGAACUCCGUCAGGUCCGGAAGGAAGCAGCGGUAAGUGAAAUUUCCCGUGUGCCGUGGAUUAAUCUGAUUUGAGUUGACUAAAUGAGUAGCACUUAUAAAUUACUGUCGAUUCAAGGUGCACAG
rnacentral:SRP_RNA from 1 species